UCCACCCGUUAUAUUAUCAUUUUUAGCGCUGUAAUUAUUUUUAAAAAAAUAAUUAUUUUCUCUUGACCUCCCAUUUAAAUUCUUUAAUUUAUCGUAAAGGACUUCUCAUGUGACGUCACACUGUACGGAACAUAGUUGUUGAACCGUUCCUUGUCGUUUAAUUCGUGUUCCGUGAGAGUUUGACGUUUUCCUCGCUGACUGUGGGAGGAAUGAGAGGCACUUGGCCGGUGGCUGCGAGGUUGACAGGUUGGUGUUGGUGGUUAGUACCGUAAAUGGCGGUUAAUUUCUUCGAAAUUAAUUUUUAUUUCAACUAAGUUUGGAAGUAUAGUAAAAAGUUACCACCACUUGUUUCCUGGAGUACGUGUUUCCUGGAGUAAGGAUGGGAGUACCAUCAGUGGAAGAGGAAUAAAAAAUUAACCGCCAUUUGGAAGAAAACUAACCCUCAUGUGAUGUCGUACCCACCUUGACUACCUAGGGAAGCCACCUUGACCUUAUUGCAGCUACCGCCAAGUCAAACUGGGAGUAUGUUUUGGGAACAAGCUUUUUGGGGGACAUUCCAGCUCCUUUUCGUCCUGCCACCUGGGCCUACGGGGGGGGCAUGGAGGUGCAUCAUAGUGAUGCUCAUUUUCUAGGAUGCAACCGCAACCUCGUUUGGGAACAUUUAGUGAGGAGUUUUAGUAACUAUUGGUUUUUUUUAUAUUUCAGACUAUCUGUUAAAUACACUAUGUUUUUUUUCCAGAUUUAGGUUACCUCUGUUUUUUUUGACAUAUGUAUUUGUAUAUUAGAUUAUUUGGUUCCCAAACUUUGUAUCUACGGUAACUUCUUGUGCACAGGAAUAAGCCUAGAGAAAAUUAGGUUUUUAAUACUUUAUUAUUGCUUUGAUAUUGGUUUAUGUAAUUCGGGUAAAUUUAUUUUGUAACAUUACUUGCUUGUUUCCCAAAUAUUGUAUUUAUUCGCUUUAUUUCGUUUGUUCGGUUACUUCGUCGUUACUUUAUUUCAUUGCAUUUGCUCGGUUAAUUUAGGUCAUUUUGCGGUAUUUUUCUUAACUUCACUUCUAUAACGUUUAUUCAUUUGUAUAUUUAAUUUUGCUUUAUUCAGUAUUGUAUUUUCUCUUAGUGAGGCUUGGGCCUAUUUAUUUGUAUUAUUUUCAUCUUCGUCGGUUUCCUUUAGUUGUACGUAGCAGGCGUACUAUAACCAUUUGGUAGAAGACUUAUGUAAUUUUGUACCCUAUAUGUUAGUAAGAGGUACUUAUAUUUAAGUUUGUAACAGAUAACAUUAUUGUUGUUAUCUUUAAAAUAUAUAUAUCUUCUUGUAUAACUUAUGUCAUUUUAGAGUCACAGCAUAAUAUGAACUUGCUUAACUCAGAGAUUGUUAAAAAUCUGGUAGUUAUUUUUAAUAAAUAUGUUUAUUUAUUUUGUAUAUCAUUUAUUUUUAUUAUUCCUUUAUGUUCAUUAUUACAGGUUUGAUAUAUUUAAUAUCUGACAGCAGUAUAAGAUACCUGGGAGAAUGAUCGAAGAUCAUUUUCAUGGCGCCCAUGAUUUGUUAGAUUUAUUUAUCUUGUUCAUUUUUAGAAAUUAUUCAUCUUCAUUCCUCUUCAGUACAUUAUUCUUAUUUUAUUAUUUCAUAUUUUAGUCAUUAUUACUAUCUACAUAGAGCUACUGUUCUUCGACAGGCAUGCAAACGAGCCGUAUCCAUCCAUGAGUGUCAAGUGGUUUUCUUGCAUCUCUUGCUAGCCAACUCUAUUCAGUUUGCCUCUGUCUCUCCAUACUUCCAUUAUCAGUUCAUCACCCUUCCUUCAUUCAUUUCAUCUUAUCAUUUUAGUUCAACAAAUACUACUGCAAAGUGGUAAAUUUUUGUUACACUGGCUGCCCAAUACGUGGUGCCAACCGUUUUAUGGUUCUAAGACAGUAGUUCUUUUAGUUCAAUUUUCUUUUAUUGGAAUUUUCUGUUUUAUUAACUUUUUGAUAUCUUUGUAUACAUGUUACUUCUGAUUUAUUUUUGGUCUUUAAAACUUUACGAAUAUUAAACAGGUAGACUUAUACUGCUUUUGGUUUUGAUUAGUUUAUUUCGAUACCUCAUUUUUAGUUUUAGUGGUACAGCUCAUAUGUUAGUUUGGAUUUUGUAUUUUUAUUGGAAACUUAUUUAUGUAUUUAGAUUGAGUAUACAUAACUGACAUUAUGUUCUAUUAGUUAAAUUUUUAGUCCUUCUACCAAUGGUAGUAUGUUUGCACGUACAAUUAAUUAUUGACUAUAUGCAUAUAUUUUUUUUCUAGUAUGGUUAUAUUUUACACCUAACUAGAAAUUAUUUUCAGGAUUUAGGUACUUUAUUUACUUUAUUGAUUUGAUUAUUUAUAUAUUUUGCUGGCAUUUUGAUUUGUUGGUGUGUCGCUAAUAUUUUCUCCAUAUGUAUCUUUGUCUUACAAACUUUAGAUUAUAUUUUAUAUUUGUUAUUUUUGAUAUUUGGGUUGUUUGGUAAGACAGGCACACACCACAAAGCAAUAUCAGUCCAGAACAUUAGCUUCUAUACAUGAUACGUUGAAUUCGCAUGGUUCGGAUGAUUACAGAUGGUCAUCCAAAUUAUUUUUCUUUAAUUGGUAGUGUUAAACAUUACAAUGAUAAAUUGUAUAGUUAAGUAGUUCCACUAUCCAUCUCAUAUUCCAGUUUUGUUAAAUUUUGGUAAUAAUAUUAUAUCAGUGUGGGUACCAUAAUAUAAUGCUUAUAUGAAUCAGAUACUUUAGGUUGAGAUUCAAAUAUAAAUUCUUUAUUAGUUAGGAAACAUUGAUACUACUUUUCUAUUAAGUUAUAGAACAAUCUUCAGAAGAAGAUUACCUUAACAGUGUUGUUCAAGCUAAUCUCUUCUUCUGUUUGUCUUUAGCUUAGCUCAAUCUUUAGUAUGGUUAUAACUUUUAGUCCAAUAUUGUUUUUUUAUCAUAUGAUAAUGCAGGUACCCACAUAAACUGCUUGAUUUCAUCUUUGGCUUAGUUUUGAUGACAUUUAUUUAUUACUUAUUAAUUUAAUUAUUAUGUAGUACUUUAUGUAUGAGUUUAUUUUUUUUAUUAUUAGGUAUGGUGCAUUUUAAUUAUUAUUAUGAGUCAAUAUUAUUAAUUGUUGAUCCUGUCAGUAGGAUUACACAAUUGAUAAUAACUUCACUUGUAUUUUUGUUCAGUUUUUGCACACCUAACCCCUAAGUUAGUAAGGUUGUUAACUUAUUAUAUAUUUAUAUAGUUGGAUAGGUAAGCUCAUACAAGUACUCUUGUUUAAUAAUGGAUAUUAUGAUGGAACUAUGUUAACUACCAUAUCUCAGGUUACGUGUUAUAUUAUUUUGAAUAUUUGAUUACUUACUAAUGUUUUUAUUAUUUUUGAUAUAUUGUUAUUGAAUUUGCCAUAUUGGAAAGAUGUGGUUUUUAAUUUGUUAUUGGGUUACUCUAUUAACAUUUGUCUCCAAUAUCUUAAACACUUAAUAAUAAUUUAUAUCCUUCUAUCCUACACACUAUGAUUCUGGAAUUAGUUUGGAAUGUUGAUGUAAGUAUGUAUGAAUUCUUGAGUCUUUCACAUUUCUGCUUAUGAUUAGUCUGUCAAUACUCUGAUUUGUGAAUGCGUGGGUUCGAAGUUGUUGCUCAGCAACUGAUCACUGCUGUUUGACUGGCUUCGUAAUCUUUGUCUUUCAUGGCAGAGUAGGCAGACGUUUUACCAUUAUAAUAUUUCUUGUUAGGAAAUGACGGUCGCAUGUCCUAACCAUUCUUCUGUAAUUAGUCCAAGUAUUCCAGUUUUUUUUUACAAUUUAAUAGGGAAGUAUUUAGUUCAUAUUAGGCCUUUUACUUCAUAGUAUGUUUGUACUUUGAGUUGAUGAGUAAACAUGGAUAAAUAUCUUGCGCACUUGUUUAUAAAUCAAUGCUUAGGCCAUCCCUAUACAUAGUAGGUUCGUUAAGUCAGUAUUUGGAGUGUUUAGACAGAUGAGUUGUUCAUUUGAGUAUAUUCCCACUUCUUUCCUUAAGCAUUAGUUUUGCUAUUCAGAUUCUGGAAUAUUUCCUGAAUAAUUCCACGUAUGUGAGAGCGCAUAAAUCUGCAGUUUUAAUUUAAACUUGUUGCUCGUUCUCGUCAAUUUUUUUUUCUUAUCACUUAUCCUAUUUUUUUUUCCUAUACCCUAUCACAUAUUUUUUUUGCCUAUCACUUAUCAUAGUGUCAUAGAACUUACGAGUUCAUCAUGUAUUCUUUUUCUUUCUUACUUAUUCUUACGUUAUUAGUACCUUAUCUGAGUCUGGUUAUUCUCAUACAUCUGUUGUAGCAACAUGCUAUAGUUCGCGAAUACCAGCACGAAUUAAGUUUAUGUAGUUUCUAUAAUAUCUUAGUCAAUACACUUUAGGUAUUUAUCUUACUUUUGAUUUAGUCAGGUUACAUCUCUGUUACUUAGUCUGUUAGCAAUGUUUAUUCUGACUUAUUUGGAUUACUUAGUUUAGAUAGGUUCAUAUUACCGGAUGAGGGUGUAUGUAGACCUAAUUUAUUUAUUUUGUUCAGUAUUAGUUACCAUUGGAUCCAAUAAUUUAGUUUAUUUAGUAUUAGUAAGAAUUGGUCCAUAAAUUUGCCUGAUCGUUCUUCUUUGGAUAUACUCCUAUAUAAAUCUGGUGUCCAUUGAUAGUCCGAUUCUGGAUAAGUGUCCGAUUCUUCAUUUAUUUUGUGUAUUUGGUUGGAUAGGUCCGUAUUACCGGAUGUGGGUGUACGUAGACCUGAUCUGUUUAUGUGGAUUAGUAUUGGUGUGAAUUGGUCCAUAAAUUCGCCUGGUCGUUCUUCUUUGGAUAUGCCUUUUAUGAAUCUGGUGUCCACUGAUAGUUCGACUUUGGAUUACGUGUCCGAUUCCACAUUUAUUUUGGUUAUUGAGUUUUGGAUUCCUUUGGUAUGUUUAUUAUUGGUAUUAUUUGACAUUAGUGAGAAUUGUUCCAUAAAUCUUCCUGAUUGUUCUUCUCUGGAUAUACUAUUAUGAAUCUGGUGUCCAGUGUUAGUUCAAUUUUGGAUUAAGUGUUCAAUUCUUUACUUAUUUUAGUUACUGAUUUUUUUUAUUCACUUUGGUACAUUUACUUUUGAUAUGGUUCGAAUUGGCUCACACCUUUCCUGGUUGUUCCGUCCUUGGAUAUAUCCUUUAUAAAUCUGAUGUCCAUGGAUAGCUCAAUUUUGGUUUUAGUGCCCAAUUCGACACUUAGUUAUUAUUAUGAACUUUAGUACAAUAUUUAGUUUUGUUUUGACUUUUGAGCAAUAUAUGUUAAUAUUUGGUAGCAGAGAGUAACAUAGUAACAUUUUAGUAUGAGUUUGAGUCAUGUAUUGAUUUAUUUUUCCUUGACCAUUAGUUUAUAUUUAGAAGUAAUCUUGCGAAUCAACGUGGAUUGUUAGACUAUUGUAAAUUUAGUUGUUAAUAUUUUGAAGUUUAAAAAAAAAAUUUUUUUUGGUUAAAAAAAUUUUUUUCCCGAGUAGGAGGGGAUUGUAACGGUCCACCCGUUAUAUUAUCAUUUUUAGCGCUGUAAUUAUUUUUAAAAAAAUAAUUAUUUUCUCUUGACCUCCCAUUUAAAUUCUUUAAUUUAUCGUAAAGGACUUCUCAUGUGACGUCACACUGUACGGAACAUAGUUGUUGAACCGUUCCUUGUCGUUUAAUUCGUGUUCCGUGAGAGUUUGACGUUUUCCUCGCUGACUGUGGGAGGAAUGAGAGGCACUUGGCCGGUGGCUGCGAGGUUGACAGGUUGGUGUUGGUGGUUAGUACCGUAAAUGGCGGUUAAUUUCUUCGAAAUUAAUUUUUAUUUCAACUAAGUUUGGAAGUAUAGUAAAAAGUUACCACCACUUGUUUCCUGGAGUACGUGUUUCCUGGAGUAAGGAUGGGAGUACCAUCAGUGGAAGAGGAAUAAAAAAUUAACCGGUAAAUCGUUUUUUCUACUAAUGUUUUUUAGUUAACCUUGAAUAUAUGAAAUAGUUGGUUCAUUGUUAAAUGUUCUUAGCCAGUCCCUUAGGUGAAGGAUGUAGAUUAUUUCGAUCUUUAUAUUAUCUUUAUAUCGAUCUUUAUAUUAAUGGGGUUUUUGGUUUUACAUAACCAAACAUUUUUGAAGUCCUCAAAUUAAUAUUGGAAAUAAUUACCAUUUCUCUGUACGUUUUAAACCGAUUGAACAUCCAAUAUAUCUAUAAAUUUUCAUGUCCAAUAUAUCUAUAAAUUGUCAUGUAACUAUCUUUGUCUGGUUCAAUACCAUUUCAUUAAGGUAUAUAAAAUGUAUGUAGAUGGCUAUUACUAUCUUAAUCUCAUGUUAUUUCAGAUAAGUCAUAUUUUAUAUUCCUAUUUCAAAUGCAAUGCCAUUAUUUGUUCAUGUUUUCAAACUCAAAAUAGUUCAAGGUUACCUGAGAUUAGUUUUUGUUCCAUUUUUAAUGGUUGUUUUUUUAUGUUAUUGCUUCUAAAAAGUUUUCCUCGAUUAUUUCUUCUUCUCUUUACUUUUGUUUACCGGUUUAUAUGAGAAAUCAAACGAAGUAUAUGUUUUUAGCCAUUUGGAAGAAAACUAACCCUCAUGUGAUGUCGUACCCACCUUGACUACCUAGGGAAGCCACCUUGACCUUAUUGCAGCUACCGCCAAGUCAAACUGGGAGUAUGUUUUGGGAACAAGCUUUUUGGGGGACAUUCCAGCUCCUUUUCGUCCUGCCACCUGGGCCUACGGGGGCGCAUGGAGGUGCAUCAUAGUGAUGCUCAUUUUCUAGGAUGCAACCGCAACCUCGUUUGGGAACAUUUAGUGAGGAGUUUUAGUAACUAUUGGUUUUUUUUAUAUUUCAGACUAUCUGUUAAAUACACUAUGUUUUUUUUCCAGAUUUAGGUUACCUCUGUUUUUUUUGACAUAUGUAUUUGUAUAUUAGAUUAUUUGGUUCCCAAACUUUGUAUCUACGGUAACUUCUUGUGCACAGGAAUAAGCCUAGAGAAAAUUAGGUUUUUAAUACUUUAUUAUUGCUUUGAUAUUGGUUUAUGUAAUUCGGGUAAAUUUAUUUUGUAACAUUACUUGCUUGUUUCCCAAAUAUUGUAUUUAUUCGCUUUAUUUCGUUUGUUCGGUUACUUCGUCGUUACUUUAUUUCAUUGCAUUUGCUCGGUUAAUUUAGGUCAUUUUGCGGUAUUUUUCUUAACUUCACUUCUAUAACGUUUAUUCAUUUGUAUAUUUAAUUUUGCUUUAUUCAGUAUUGUAUUUUCUCUUAGUGAGGCUUGGGCCUAUUUAUUUGUAUUAUUUUCAUCUUCGUCGGUUUCCUUUAGUUGUACGUAGCAGGCGUACUAUAACCAUUUGGUAGAAGACUUAUGUAAUUUUGUACCCUAUAUGUUAGUAAGAGGUACUUAUAUUUAAGUUUGUAACAGAUAACAUUAUUGUUGUUAUCUUUAAAAUAUAUAUAUCUUCUUGUAUAACUUAUGUCAUUUUAGAGUCACAGCAUAAUAUGAACUUGCUUAACUCAGAGAUUGUUAAAAAUCUGGUAGUUAUUUUUAAUAAAUAUGUUUAUUUAUUUUGUAUAUCAUUUAUUUUUAUUAUUCCUUUAUGUUCAUUAUUACAGGUUUGAUAUAUUUAAUAUCUGACAGCAGUAUAAGAUACCUGGGAGAAUGAUCGAAGAUCAUUUUCAUGGCGCCCAUGAUUUGUUAGAUUUAUUUAUCUUGUUCAUCUUUAGAAAUUAUUCAUCUUCAUUCCUCUUCAGUACAUUAUUCUUAUUUUAUUAUUUCAUAUUUUAGUCAUUAUUACUAUCUACAUAGAGCUACUGUUCUUCGACAGGCAUGCAAACGAGCCGUAUCCAUCCAUGAGUGUCAAGUGGUUUUCUUGCAUCUCUU
rnacentral:lncRNA from 1 species